rnacentral:rRNA from 1 species
GACGAACGCUGGCGGCGUGCCUAAUACAUGCAAGUUGAGCGAUGAAGAUUGGUGCUUGCACCAAUUUGAAGAGCAGCGAACGGGUGAGUAACGCGUGGGGAAUCUGCCUUUGAGCGGGGGACAACAUUUGGAAACGAAUGCUAAUACCGCAUAAUAACUUUAAACAUAAGUUUUAAGUUUGAAAGAUGCAAUUGCAUCACUCAAAGAUGAUCCCGCGUUGUAUUAGCUAGUUGGGGAGGUAAAGGCUCACCAAGGCGAUGGUACAUAGCCGACCUGAGAGGGUGAUCGGCCACAUUGGGACUGAGACACGGCCCAAACGCCUACGGGAGGCAGCAGUAGGGAAUCUUCGGCAAUGGACGAAAGUCUGACCGAGCAACGCCGCGUGAGUGAAGAAGGUUUUCGGAUCGUAAAACUCUGUUGGUAGAGAAGAACGUUGGUGAGAGUGGAAAGCUCAUCAAGUGACGGUAACUACCCAGAAAGGGACGGCUAACUACGUG